UGACACAGUGUAGAUGUUGUGGUGGUGGGGGAAGGAAAGGUCCAUCUGGAUUACACAGUGUAGAUGUUGUGGUGGUUGGAAGGAAAGUUCCAUCUGGAUUACAUAGUGUAGAUGUUGUGGUGGUGGGGGAAGGAAAGUUCCAUCUGGAUUACACAGUGUAGAUGUUGUGGUGGUGGGGGAAGGAAAGUUCCAUCUGGAUUACAUAGUGUAGAUGUUGUGGUGGUGGGAAGGAAAGGUCCAUCUGGAUUACACAGUGUAGAUGUUGUGGUGGUGGGGGAAGGAAAGUUCCAUCUGGAUUACACAGUGUAGAUGUUGUGGUGGUGGGGGAAGGAAAGUUCCAUCUGGAUUACAUAGUGUAGAUGUUGUGGUGGUGGGGGAAGGAAAGUUCCAUCUGGAUGACACAGUGUAGAUGUUGUGGUGGUGGGGGAAGGAAAGGUCCAUCUGGAUGACACAGUGUAGAUGUUGUGGUGGUGGGGGAAGGAAAGUUCCAUCUGGAUGACACAGUGUAGAUGUUGUGGUGGUGGGAAGGAAAGUUCCACCUGGAUUACAUAGUGUAGAUGUUGUGGUGGUGGGGGAAGGAAAGGUCCAUCUGGAUGACACAGUGUAGAUGUUGUGGUGGUGGGGGAAGGAAAGUUCCAUCUGGAUGACACAGUGUAGAUGUUGUGGUGGUGGGGGAAGGAAAGUUCCAUCUGGAUUACAUAGUGUAGAUGUUGUGGUGGUGGGGGAAGGAAAGUUCCAUCUGGAUGACACAGUGUAGAUGUUGUGGUGGUGGGGGAAGGAAAGUUCCAUCUGGAUGACACAGUGUAGAUGUUGUGGUGGUGGGAAGGAAAGUUCCAUCUGGAUGACACAGUGUAGAUGUUGUGGUGGUGGGGGAAGGAAAGGUCCAUCUGGAUGACACAGUGUAGAUGUUGUGGUGGUGGGGGAAGGAAAGUUCCAUCUGGAUGACACAGUGUAGAUGUUGUGGUGGUGGGGGAAGGAAAGUUCCAUCUGGAUGACACAGUGAAGAUGUUGUGGUGGUGGGAAGGAAAGGUCCAUCUGGAUGACACAGUGUAGAUGUUGUGGUGGUGGGGGAAGGAAAGGUCCAUCUGGAUGACACAGUGUAGAUGUUGUGGUGGUGGGGGAAGGAAAGCUCCAUCUGGAUGACACAGUGUAGAUGUUGUGGUGGUGGGGGAAGGAAAGGUCCAUCUGGAUGACACAGUGUAGAUGUUGUGGUGGUGGGGGAAGGAAAGUUCCAUCUGGAUGACACAGUGUAGAUGUUGUGGUGGUGGGGGAAGGAAAGUUCCAUCUGGAUGACACAGUGUAGAUGUUGUGGUGGUGGGGAAGGAAAGGUCCAUCUGGAUUACAAG
rnacentral:lncRNA from 1 species